rnacentral:rRNA from 1 species
CGAGUGAAGCGGCAAAAGCUCAAAUAUGAAAUAUAGUACCUUCGGUGCUCGAGUUGUAAUUUGAAGAUGGCGACUUUGGGAGUGGCCUCUAUCUAUGUUCCUUGGAACAGGACGUCACAGAGGGUGAGAAUCCCGUCUGAUGAGGUGAUCCACUCCUUCGUAAAGUGCUAUCGAAGAGUCGAGUUGUUUGGGAAUGCAGCUCUAAGUGGGUGGUAAAUUCCAUCUAAAGCUAAAUAUUGGCGAGAGACCGAUAGCGAACAAGUACAGUGAUGGAAAGAUGAAAAGAACUUUGAAAAGAGAGUGAAAAAGUACGUGAAAUUGUUGAAAGGGAAGGGUAUUAGAUCAGACUUGGCGUUGUGUGAUUAUCUUCCCCUUGUGGGUUGUGCACUCGUGCUUCGCUGGGCCAGCAUCGAUUCGUGUGGCAGGAUAAUAGCAUUGGAACGUGGCUGCGCUUCUGUGUAGUGUUAUAGCCUUUGUUGAUACUGCCUAUGUGGAUCGAGGACUGCGUCUUUUUGACUAGGAUGCUGGCGUAAUGAUCUAAUAUCGCCCGUCUUGAA